GAUGAACGCUGGCGGCGUGCCUAAUACAUGCAAGUCGAGCGAACAGACGAGGAGCUUGCUCCUCUGACGUUAGCGGCGGACGGGUGAGUAACACGUGGAUAACCUACCUAUAAGACUGGGAUAACUUCGGGAAACCGGAGCUAAUACCGGAUAAUAUAUUGAACCGCAUGGUUCAAUAGUGAAAGACGGUUUUGCUGUCACUUAUAGAUGGAUCCGCGCCGCAUUAGCUAGUUGGUAAGGUAACGGCUUACCAAGGCGACGAUGCGUAGCCGACCUGAGAGGGUGAUCGGCCACACUGGAACUGAGACACGGUCCAGACUCCUACGGGAGGCAGCAGUAGGGAAUCUUCGGCAAUGGGCGAAAGCCUGACGGAGCAACGCCGCGUGAGUGAUGAAGGUCUUCGGAUCGUAAAACUCUGUUAUUAGGGAAGAACAAAUGUGUAAGUAACUAUGCACGUCUUGACGGUACCUAAUCAGAAAGCAACGGCUAACUACGUG
rnacentral:rRNA from 1 species